rnacentral:rRNA from 1 species
GACAGAGGAUGCAAGCGUUAUCCGGAAUGAUUGGGCGUAAAGAGUGUGUAGGCGGUGCUCUAAGUUCGGUGUGAAAUCUCCCGGCUUAACUGGGAGGGUGCGCCGGAAACUGGAGUGCUUGAGCGCGGGAGAGGAAAGCGGAAUUCCUGGUGUAGCGGUGAAAUGCGUAGAUAUCAGGAGGAACACCUGUGGUGUAGACGGCUUUCUGGACCGUAGCUGACGCUGAGACACGAAAGCGUGGGUAGCAAACAGG